UCCAAAAUAACCUAGAUCAAUUCUUUCCUCUUUGUUCAGCCGCACGCCAUCUCGACAAGGAGAAACAUGGCGUUCCUCUUAUCUCAUUAUAUCUGCAAUCAUGCACGGCCUCUUCGCUGACCACGCCACAGCGCGUCCAAUCUGACAGCAAUCCUACCGUCCAAGACACCAUCAGGGUGAUUCAUGUUGCAUCAGAACAGUGCAGAUAUUAUUUUCCAUCGAGCCUUUCCGAGUCAAGCAGAUCGAGCGGUGCCGCAGCCCAGGAUUCACAUGCCAUGGUCGAGCAAUCAUGUUCACGCUGUAAUAAAAUCCCGUACGAUACAAGUCUUGCGGCUAGCUGUCAGGUGAGCAACAAAUGCAACUCAUUUGCUACCCGGCGUGUGCAGUUGCUGUCAUGUAAAAGUGGAGAUACUAAGCAGUUAAAGCACAUUGUAAGCACAUUGACAAACGUUUAGAUUUUAAGAGUUAGAUUUCUCUUAUGCUCGAUCUGCACAUGCAUUUGAAAUAUUACUUUUCUCUCAUCACCGGCGUACGAGUCCAAAUUACUGCCUAGCAAAUUCUUUGUAUAGUGUACUUCUCAAGUAAAAAAAUAACGCGCUAUACAAAAUAGCGUCGUUCCUGAUAUAUGUUAUUAACGUGUUAUAGUAUAUUAUAGCGUGCUAUUAACGAGAUAUUGUACACUAAUCAAUUUAACGAGACAAUUUUCUAUAUGCUACAGCGUGUUAUUAACGGUGGUAUAGGGUGCUAUUUUUUCCAGUUGUACUUCUAGCUUAGAUGGUGUCCUUUGUGUAAUACACCAGAAAAUGCAUAUCUUUUAAAAUUAUUUUGUAAGGGAUGAAGUUUCUUACUAAUUACCCUCAGAAUGUGAAACAUCAAUAUGCUCGUAUGAAAAAAAUUAGUGUGGUAUGGCACUUACAUGUUACAGCAAUCAAUAUUUCCUCAUGAAAGAAAUAUAUGUGUAUUUUUAGCUAAUUUUCAUCUGUAGGUGUGGCAUGCAAGCAAGGUGAAGAGUAAUUCUGUAAAUCA
rnacentral:lncRNA from 1 species